AUGGCGAUGGCGAGCUUGGCGAGGAGGCGCGCGGCGGAGGCGGUGCUGUUGCGGCGGCCCCACGCGGCGGCGUGGGCGUCCGCGUGCAGGGGGUACGCCGCGUCGGGGGAGGAGAGUGACGUCGUCGUGAUCGGCGGCGGGCCCGGCGGGUACGUGGCGGCCAUCAAGGCGGCGCAGCUCGGCCUUAAGACCACCUGCAUCGAGAAGAGGGGCGCGCUCGGGGGGACCUGCCUCAACGUCGGCUGCAUCCCGUCCAAGGCUCUUCUGCACUCGUCGCAUAUGUACCAUGAGGCAAAGUCUUCUUUUGCACACCAUGGCGUCAAGUUCUCCAAUCUGGAGGUAGAUCUGCCUGCAAUGAUGGCUCAGAAAGACAAGGCUGUUUCUGGGCUUACAAAGGGCAUUGAAGGCCUGUUCAAGAAGAACAAGGUUGAGUAUGUUAAAGGGUUUGGGAAGCUUGUCUCUCCGUCAGAGGUAUCUGUGGAUUUAGUUGAUGGUGGUAGCACUAUCGUCAAAGGGAAGAAUAUAAUUGUCGCCACUGGCUCAGAUGUGAAAUCGCUCCCUGGAGUUACAAUUGAUGAGAAGAAGAUUGUGUCAUCUACUGGGGCUCUUGCACUUACAGAAAUACCAAAGAAGCUGGUGGUCAUUGGAGCUGGAUACAUAGGUCUAGAGAUGGGUUCUGUCUGGAACAGGCUAGGGUCUGAAGUGACUGUGGUUGAAUUUGCCCCUGAUAUUGUCCCAUCAAUGGAUGGAGAGAUAAGGAAGCAGUUUCAGCGUAUGCUAGAGAAGCAAAAGUUUAAGUUCAUGCUCAAGACAAAGGUAGUUGGGGUCGAUACCUCUGGAAGUGGUGUCAAGUUAACUGUGGAGCCUGCAGCUGGUGGAGAGCAGACUGUCAUUGAGGCUGAUGUUGUCCUUGUAUCUGCUGGCAGAGUCCCAUACACUGCUGGUAUUGGGUUGGACGCCAUUGGUGUUGAGACAGACAAGGGCGGAAGGAUCCUUGUCGACAAUCGCUUUAUGACAAAUGUUAAGGGCGUAUACGCGAUUGGAGAUGCGAUACCUGGACCGAUGCUUGCACACAAGGCCGAGGAGGAUGGUGUUGCAUGUGUUGAAUUUAUCGCGGGGAAGGAGGGCCAUGUUGACUAUGACACUGUACCUGGCGUGGUGUACACGCACCCAGAGGUGGCCUCCGUUGGCAAGACGGAGGAACAGGUCAAGGCAUCUGGUGUAGCCUACCAGGUUGGGAAGUUCCCCCUGCUGGCAAACAGUCGGGCGAAGGCAAUUGAUGAUGCCGAAGGGAUGGUGAAGGUGAUAUCUGAGAAGGAAACUGACAGAAUCCUCGGCGUACACAUAAUGUCCCCUGGCGCGGGCGAGAUCAUCCACGAGGCUGUGCUUGCACUUCAGUAUGGAGCAUCCAGCGAGGACAUUGCCCGUACGUGCCACGCGCAUCCGACAGUGAGUGAGGCCCUGAAGGAGGCGUGCAUGAACACCUACGACAAGGCGAUCCACAUGUGA
rnacentral:rRNA from 1 species